rnacentral:lncRNA from 1 species
CAAAACAUGAUAAAUCGUAUCAUUGGGAGGUCAAUUAAUACAAUAGAAGAUCUAUUCUUACUUCUAUUAAAAAACAAAAAAAAAAACAUGAGAAAUGGGCACAAUGUUGGAUCUUCGAGUAAAAGGAGAUGUGAGAGAGGUGAUUAAGGAAUUGACAACAAUAGAAAUGAUGCAUUUACAAAAAGAUGAUGGAAACAAUAUGGAAGGAAGUGAAGAUUUGAUUGGACAAGAUUGUGGCAAAUAUGAUCUUGAGGUGCUUGUAAGUAUGUAGAAAGCAAUAUAUGGUAUAGAAGGAUGAAUCAUGUUCAUUUUGGUGUACCUUUGCCUUGUUUUGACAGGUGAAGGGGAUCUGGUCUUGGAACCAAGGGCGGUGUUGGGGGAUGGGGG